UCAAACUUGGUCAUUUAGAGGAAGUAAAAGUCGUAACAAGGUUUCCGUAGGUGAGUAAUAUUCAGACUUCUGUUUGUCUGCUGCAAGUAGCUAACAAUUCUAGGUGAACCUGCGGAAGGAUCAUUACCGAGUCCUCUGCCUAGCAGAACUCCCCACCCUUGAUUACAAGCUGUUGCUUCGGCGAGACGCUGUUUACAGCCAUCGAUUGCGAUUGAUGAGCGCUCGCCGAAGUUUAAACUCUUAAUUUUGCUGUCAGAGGAAAAGCGAAUUAUAAAAACUUUCAACAACGGAUCUCUUGGUUUUGGCAUCGAUGAAGAACGCAGC
rnacentral:misc_RNA from 1 species